GGGGCUCGCGGCGCGCAGGCGGCCGCGUCCCGGCGACAGCCCCGAGAGCAGCGGGGCGGGUUGAGGAGCGGCGUGUCUUUGCUCCUCGGUGCUCCGGUACCUGUCCGCGGCGCUCAGAUUUUGGAAACCUGAGCUGAAGUAUCGUGUGACUUACAGCGUGAUAACUACACCAAAAGUGAGUUUUCUGUUUCUGUUGGUCUUGUAUCAGUUGUUCCGGAUGACUGGCAACGCUGCACGUCUGACUGUGAUGGAUUGCCUGCUGAAUCUCUGUGGCUUGUUCAAGCAUCAGUUUGACAGGAUUCAUCUUACCGCUGCAUGUGUGUGUUUUGAGGAUAGUUUGAACAAAGAUAUUGAGUAUAUUUCCUGGGCUGUGCAGUGGAAGACUUGGUGGUGCGGAGGUGGAAACUUAAGUGAAAAAUAAAACUCAUUGAAGUGUUGCCAAAUUCUUCUUGUGCAGGUGUUGGUUUUCCAUAGGAAAUGUCUGACUUGCAGUGCAAGCUGAGCUAUCCAAAUUCAAGUGCUACUGAGUACAAGCUCUGUGAGCUGAACCUUAUGUUGCAUAUUCCUCUUUUCACAUUUCAAAUGUAGGGUUUGUGGUUGCCACCAAUGUCCUCUGCAAUGUGGACUGAUUACCUGCCCAUCGGUCUGCACACACUCACCUUGUUUGAGGGAUUGCUCCUCUGCUUUGUUGAAAUGUUUUGUUGAGGUUGUUUACAGAAUACUCAAAUCUGCAACGCAGCACAGAAGUUAAAAAAAAAAAAAUGCUGAUACUUGAAUUUGUCACUGCACUCUGGCAUUAUCUAUUUAGAGAAAUGUUUGUGUAAUGGAUGCAGACAGCUUUUGGUUAUUUGAAGAGCGCAGAUGAAAAGCAACACAAAGAGUGUUGGUAAAUACCAUUCUCACUUGAUUUAGUUUUUCUUCCUCAGCCAAAAAAUACUGAUCUUAGCUACUUGAGUUUUUCAAGCACCAGGCUUAUCUGGUGACAGUAUGCAGCCAGGAUUAAGUUAUAGUUCUGUGUAUUUUCUUCGUUUUCUCCAGCAGCUGAUUCUUGCUCUGUCUAGAGUAGGGAAUGGAGUCAAAACUGGGACAUGUGUUGCUUGCAUCUAUGUACUAGGGGUGGUUUCAUCUGGCUGUAAAGUUUCUGCUCUUAUUGCAGCCCCUUCACCACCACCCCCCACCCCGAGUUACAAGGGCUCUAGUUGUCUUAUUUACUAUUUUCUUUGUGAGCUUUUUGGUCAUAGGGUGAGUGCAGCAGGUUUCAUUGUUUGACAUUUCUGGGGCUCUGUAGCCAGACCACGCUAUUUCCUUCUCCGUUCUGCUGCCUUCACAAUUGUCUUUAGAGUCUGUGGCCAUAGAAGAGAGAGCAGCAGCCUCAGUUAGAUGUUUGAGUGCAGUGUUUGUGGGCAGCUCUGGAAUACAGCAUUACCAGUGACAGACUGCUGUACAGAAAAUACAGUUUGUGUUUUCAGAAAGCUGAAAAGAAUUGCUGCAGUCAGGUAAGCCUUGGUGGUUGUGGAAGGCAGUGAGAGAAGUAGGUGGGGUAUGAAAAUGUAUCAGUGAGCCUCCAGUUGUCAACAGACAUGAAAUGAAGCUGCUGGGUUCUGCUCAUGGUGUUUGUUAUUCCUUGUCCAUCCAGAAAAGUUCUAGCUCCGAGUACAGUGAAUGGGAGACACUUCUUUUUAGAUGCUCCUUGUCAGCCUCUGCAUGUCAAGGAUUUUUGGGGAUUAUAUGUGAUUCAUCAUGCAGAAAGUUAAAUAGUCAACAAGAGCUGGGUCACUGAAAGCUGUAAUGAAGCUAACUCCAGCAAACUCCGGUGGAGAGAGGGAGCUGAGGGUCUGAGCUUUAAGUGUAUUUAAAGCUGUUUGAUUGGUGCUCUUUGCAAGGAGCAGCAGUGAAUGUGAAGAUAUUUUGUCUUUUAAUUCACUAGUGUGAGCCUGAGCUUCAGAAGUCUUGAUUGAAUAUGAAGCAGGUAUUGAAUAUGCUGUCUGCUUUUACCGGAGGGUCUUUGCAAACAGUGAGGCACGUAACCAGAAAACUCAACGCAGGCUGGUGAGUUUUUGGCUGAAAGGGUAAGGUUAACUCCUGUCUGCUCCUGGGUAUUAGGGAUAAUUCAGUUCUGCCAGUAAUAAGCAGCAGAAUGUCGGUAAAUUCAGCUGUUUUUGAGCUGCUCACAGGUUACCGUGGGAGAAGUUGUUCUUGCAUAAAUGGAGUGAAAAAACUUAUCCUAAUUAAUCAGUAGCCUGAAUCCCAUUUGAUUUAGCUGAUGAGACAGCGCUGGCUGCAGGAGCAGCCCCAGACCAAGGCUGAGUAGACCUUUUAGGUUCUUUUUUUUCUUUGUUCUCUCUGUUAGUAUUUCCUUCUUCUCCUGCAUAAAUCUGAGCCACAUUCAGAUUAUUUUGUCACAGCACCCUGUGUUCUGUUCUCUUUUGUCUUGAUGGCCUUCCUUAUAGUCCUCACUUAACCUUUUAGAUGGCUCACAUGAUGACACUGAAAAAAUCUUCAUCCGUUUCUUGAGUUGCUUUCUGGACUGCCCCAAAGCACUUUCCAUCACCUUGCUCAUCACAUAGCAGUUUUAGAUCUUGCACAAAGGAAUGAAAGCAAGACAGUUUCUCUCAGACCUGUCUAUGCAAGCUCAGGCACAUAUUGAACCUAAAUAUUACCUAAUUUCUCAUACUUGCAUGACAAUGAAACCCACAUACUCAAAACAAAAUCUGAAAUGCCAGUGCAGCAGUAUUGUUUAACUGUGAAUCUGAAAAAUAAAACAUGCAACAAAAAUGUAUUUUUAAAUCUUAACCAAGUAUUUCACAGGAGGAAUAUUAAGUUAUGUAAGAAAUAAUUUCCAGGUUGAUACUAAUUCAUGGUUAAUUUACAAGUGGUAUGGAAAAAAAGAAAGAUGCUUUCAAAAGCCCAAGGACCCAUGUUACCUAACUGUGGAUCAGCACCUCAGGAGGCCUGUGAAGGUCACAUGUGGUUGAGUCUGUUCUGGAGAACCUCUGUCUUCUACUGAAUCUGGGAAAAGCCUUUUGUUUUUGCACAUCUCUGUUCCCUGUCAAAUAUGAGGUAUGGAAAAAAGGGUUGAGCUUGUGUUUUAAACAUCCUGUAAACAGAAAGGAGUGCUACUUGAAAGUUUACCUCUGUGCUGUUAAGAGUUAUGUCACCACUUACACUAUGAAGUCUUGCCUACUACAGACUUUAGAACUAAUGCUGUUUUUGUGUGGCUAUCCCGUAAAAGUGGCCUGCUAUACAGCAACAAAUAAAUGACUGUAAGAAGGCACCUGAUCUCUAGUAGUAAUCUGUGUCAUCACACCAGCGUAUUGGAUCCAGAGUUCCUGUUGUAAGGUAAUGCACUCAAGUUAUUUUACACAGCUGUUAUGUAGCCUCGUUAAUAGCAGUGUCUCCCACAUUACAGCUGGGAGCAGAAACUGAAGAGCUUCAGCCACAAUGUCGAUUCCUAUGGUAGGGAUUCCUCUAGAGAGCAGUGCCAUGUGUGCUGUAUGGGAGCGAGGACAGUGCAACAAGGAUGUUAUACUAAGGCUGGCUUCUUUCACUAUUAGGUUUCUUCUGUGAUGUUCUUCUUUGUGCUGCAUUAAAAAAAAAAAAGCCUAAAAGCGCUAGACCCAUUUCCCUGUUGAAGGCAUUAACGUCAUCAUAUCCAACAUCCUUUGGUUUGAUGCUCAGGGCUGUUAAUACCUUGGCUAGAAAGUGAUUGUGUUCUGUCACGUGACGCAGAAGCUAUUUAAACUGAACCUUGGCUGCAAAUGAAGAAGUCACAAGGAACUUGAGCUUACUGAGAAAAAAAAUCCAGUAUGUUGGAAGUGCUUCUUACUUUAUUGUUCUUUGUGCUCCUCUUGUAGGCAGAGGCAGAAUUUGUUCAUCCAGGGAACUCUGGUGCAUCCCAGCAACAUGCUGCCUGCAUAUGCAUUGGGCAGUCUUGCAGGCUCUGGGGGCAGGAGAAUUGUGGUCCAGCGAGUGCACUGAAGAGUUAGAAAAGCACAUGUUCUGGGCUGCAUCCAGCCAUUCAGGAACGAGACCAUCCAGCUGCGAUGUUAGCAGCCCUGCCUUGUAGGCUGAGUGUGUGCCUUGCAGAGCCAUAUGAUACUCCCUGUGCUCAUACCCGGGGAAGCAGGAUGGGUCUCACAUGAUGCCUUCCUCCUGAGAGCUAGUGGGCUGGACAUGGACUGGGGAAGCCCAUCUGCCCUAGGGAGGAAGUGAGGUGGGAAGUGCUGAAGGAGAGCUGUGCCUAUAUAAUAUCUUCUCCUCUACUACUGCAGGGAACAUUCAUAGGAGUGGAGACAGAUGUUUGCCAUGUUGGCUCUCAUGGAUUUCUGCUUGGCAUGACUCUACUGAAGGCAGCACAAGUAUGUCAGUAUUGCACUGCAGAAGAGCUGGCUUGCUUUGUUCUUGCAGGUGCAGCUGGGCCUUCAAACUACACAUCUGAAGCCCUGCUCACUUGUAUUGUUCAAAGCCUUAGAUUAUAUAUAUAUAUAUAUAUAUAUAUAUAUACAGGAAUAGGUGUACUUAUUCAGGCCAGUGUUUUUUUUGUUGCCUCAGAUUUCAUAAAAUAUAUAAAGAUGUAGAGUUCUAAAAAUAAAGCAGCAAUUUUCUGAGCGAUAGCAAAUACUUGAGUUAAUGUUCUACUGAACACCAGAUGUGAGACCCAGAGGCAGGGCCAGCAAAAUAUUUAUUGAAGGAGUAUCUGAGCAAGUUGUUCUUUUGAGGCCUACAGCUCCUGAGCUCCAGUUAGUUAACUGAGGAAGUGUUUGUGGGUUGGUUUUAAUGACUAAUUCCAUUGCCAGCAGUGUCUUCAGGAAAAAAAAAAAAAGCCAACAAAAAGCAGCAAAUGGAAGGAACAGGUGGUACACAACUCUUUGUGAAAACAAAACAACACAUAUUGUAGAACUAGAAGUAUCUGCUUCUACUUAAUGAUAAGUCUUCAAACUCUGAUGCAUUUCAUUUAUGUGGAAUAAAUUACUUGACCAGCCAGUAGGCUCUUAAAAUACUUUUUGUUUGUUUGUUUUAAUGUUUUAGUAAUUCAGUGAGGGUAAAAACAUCCCUUGUAACCUCUUUCAUUCCAUACCAGGAAGUCCAGAGACAGGAGGAGGAUAAUUUAGGUUAGAUACUCCUUCAUAGGAAUGAGUGGGAGCUGUGCUCUUGACUUCAAUGGGAGUAGUAGCCAGGCCCUUUCUGUGUAGGUAUCACAGCAGUGAUGUCUUCUGAGGCAGAGUUAAACAUGCCUUUUAAUUCUAACUCAAAGUUUAAAUUAAUCAAGUUGAGUCUCUUCUGCGAGAGAAAAUAUCUUUUAUUUGAUUUAACAAGAUAAAAACAGGCAAUUUUGCAAGUGAGCGGUGAAGGCCAAGAGAUCAGUUUCUAUUUCCAAAAGCUUUUCUUUCUUCCUACUUUUCUUCUUUUUGUCUUCCAUCUAUAGAUGUUAUAUUUAUCUGCAGUGUUUACUUCAGUUACAGCCUCUGAGCUUAGUGGCUGUAAUGCCUUUUAUGACUUGAGUAUGUUUUGUUAUGUGUGGGGUGAGAGCAUUUCAGUGUGCACAGCUUACAGAUGGAAGCUUUUCUCUUACUUACAGUCUCGGUUCAUAUCCUGUUCAUAGAUUUUUAUCUCCGUUCCUUGUAUCCUCAUACCUUUCUGGAACUAUCACCAGUCAAUUGAUGAUGCAUCAAGAGUCUUUCAUUGCUCCCACGAAGUCUGCUUUGGUGUUUGUUUUUUGUUUUGGUUUUCUCCACUGAUACCAGUAACAGCAGAACCAGGGUCAAAACAAUCUCUGAUAGGGCACCGUGAAGGUCUUACAGCAGCUCUGCUGAGAGGAAUGUCAAAUUUUCCCUGCAGUUCUUAGUUGGAAGAAUGAGUCAUUUUUCUUUUCCGAGCUGUUAAGUGCUGCUGGCAUAAACAUGUCUUGUUAUCUGGAGCUUUUACAGCGUCUCUUUCAGUGUUGCUGCUCACCUUGGAAGCUUGGGGAAUUCGCAUAUUAAUAGUAGCCAUAUGCCAAAUUCUUGAGUUUCAGACUUGAAAGGUGGAUUGUAGAAUUCAAUUCAUUUGUCUGAGCUUCAGUUCUCUUGUCUGAGCUAUGUAUAAGGCCAGGAAUUACUUAAUUUUGCCACUUCCAUAUGAAGUCUCACUGGUUUGGCAUGUAACUAAUUUGUAUUUUUGCUGUUAUCAUCUGGUCAUUUUACUCCAAGAAGAAUUAAAUUCACAGCACACUUGAGGAUAUGGAUACUGUCCAUCUUCCAUUACCUCUUCUUGGGAUACUGGUGUAUAGCAGAAAUAACUGCUUGUCAAGCCAUUGGGCUUGUAAUUCCUAGCGUGUUUAGGACUGACGUCUCAAAUUCUCAUGAAAUGAAGUCAGCCCUAUACUUCUAGAGAAUGUUGAUUCAGUCUGGGGAGUAUAAGCCUGGGCACUGACAGACCUGCAUGUGAUUUUCCUGUCCACAAUUUCCCAUCUAAUCUUGGUCAAGUCACUGCCAAAUAAAAUCCAGAAGUAAAACCUGAGAAUUUUUCUCCUGCUGCAGAUACACAAGUACUUUGUUAGAGGCCUGUGUUGCUGCACUGUUGUGCGGGGUCCUUUUACACUUGGCUGAUUUUCUCCAUCUUGGAUGAGUUUAUUAUCUGGUGUAGUGCUUUGGUUUGCUGAACGUGGUAUGAAUCACACUUGCAUGCAGUGAUGGAGCGGUGGUUGCUUUGAGCUGGGGCUUCCAAAUCAGUCUUCUGAACAGGAAUCAAGGGGAAUUGUGUGGCUGAAAAUGUGAAAACCCCAGUCCUUUAAAUUAUCAAGUUCAAAUUUUUAGCUACGGAAGAUGCAACGCAUCACAAGGUUGCAUUUGAAAUCUUGAGUUUCAUAAGCUAUUUUUUUCAAUCUUAAGGUACCUACUGAGUAAACAGUGACCUUCCUGAAGAAGAGGCUCUGUGGAGAUGGGGAACCGGGUGGGGGACAAGGCUCAUAGUGGUUACAUGCAUGUGUUGGUGCAACGCUUUUGGACCUGAAACUGAUUUGCAAAAACACUGGUCAGGAAAGAGAGCCUGCUCCAAGUUGCUUCAUGUGGAGGUAAGAUGGGAGGUGAAUGGGAAGGUGCAGUGGUUGAGUGAUUCCUAAAGCAAACGUACACUGAAUCACAAGUGAAUCUGAACUUGCAAUGCAGGGGUUCUUGUGGAGGGAGCGUGUUUCCCUGCAGUGUACAGCCUGUGUCUGCUCUGGCUUCCUGUGGAGGUGUGGCUUAGAAGCCAAAAACAAUGCCAUGUUCUGCUUCUGGGAAGGUGCUCAGCUCCAGAGCCUUUGUGGGGAUGUGUUCCUGGAGUGCGAAGGGAGCAUUGUGAUCCAUUGUGGGGAGGCACAUCUCAAGACACUAAUGUUAUCUGCAGACAGGCAAGUCUGCUGCCAGCCAGGAUCACACUGCUCUCAUGAGCCCUGCACAGUGCUGUUGUGUCUUCCAUCACAGUACCUUUUUCCACUCUACAUCUUAAUUACCAGCUCAUCUUGAUCUAACAACUAAGAAAAAGCUCCAAAGCACAAACAGUAACAAGAAGAACACGUAUGUGUGUGGACUUGUAUUUAUUUUGAAUUAGUACAGGAGUGCAUGCAUUUGAGCUCAGUUAUAAUGUGCUCAGAAGGAGAAAAUGUGGACCACAGCCCAUCCGGUUGGAAGCCUUUGCUUUGGAUGAAAAGCUGCUGCAUUUCUCAAGCAAAUAUAAAGUCAAGUUUCAUAUGUCAGCUGUGUGAUUGGGUCUAGAGAGUUUGGACUCAUGAAUACUGGCAGAAUCUGACAAUUGUAUUUCUGCUUUAAACACUGCAAAUUUUCCUAAUAAGCAAGUAUUGAAACUGAAGUUUGUUGUGCUUAAGCUCAGGACACAAUUGUGUGCAUCGUGUUCAUGCUAGGAAGCUUGAAGCGCUGGGAACGGAGGCUUCUUUAUCUUUUUAAUUGCUGUAGUUCCACUGGUUUCAAUAGCCAUGCACCCACAUGCAUUUAUAAUGGCCAGCAAACAGCCUCUUGAGUCUCAGAAACGCACAUGAAGGUACUAAGCAACAUCUGUAACAUAGCAACAGGAAAGCCUUGAUGGCAUUCUCGAUAUACUGGCUGCAGUUCUUGGUGCUGAGAGGGAUUGUAUGGUGGAGGGCUUGCUUGCUUUUGGGCAGGUUCUGGUAAGGCUCAUAGUGUUGCCUGGGAUUGUAAUACUUACCAAAUGUAACACAACGGCAAGUUGUGUUUGUGGCACAAGGACCCAGCCUAAGGUUUGGUUCAGAGUGAUUUGGGAAGACACAGCAUUACGUUUCUGUGCCUUAUUUGUGUUUUCCAUGGGAUUCUUAUUUACCCCUGUGAAGCUUUGCCUUCUUGGAACCAUUACAAGCUUUACUAGCAGGUUCCAGACCUUCACGUUUUCACCUUCCAGCUCCCGUGGAGCACUGUUGCAGGCUGUGUGGGCAGUGGAAGCCCCUUUGUGUUAAGCUGCGGGCCCUUGGCAGCUUCUUCAGCUUUGCUGUGUUGUCUGUGGAUGGAAAAGAAGGUACUCAGGCUGAGAGAAUGGUGGGGCUACAAAGCAGCAUUUGUGUGUUCCUUCCAUCUUGGCUGGUAUUCAGCAACAGGGAGGCCUGAGAUCAGCUCUGCACCUGCUGCUGGGGCUGCUUUUUGCCUGCUGUCAGGUGCCUCACAGUCUUAUGCAAAUGAACCAUUUAAGAAAAUGAGUUACUUGGAUGGAGCCUUUCUGUAAAGAAUAGUACCAGAUCCUGUGUAAGCCAGAUGUGUUUCAGAAAGAUGUCCUGUAUUUAGUCCAAGCAUCGCAAUUAGGUGUUCCCUGGCUAUCUCCUGUGUUUUUCACAUUGUUUGCCUAUUAUUUCUUCAAGGGCAAAGAGGGAGGUAGCAUUAAUGUGGUAACACUGCCUGUAAUUACAUAGCCGAGGGGAGCAGGAAAAAAGCCUUCUGGGUGUUUUCUACAUCUCGGGAUUUAUUAGGUUGUCUCCUGUGCUGACAGAACAAGAUGUAGAGUUGAAUUCAGUGUUCAUUUGUCACCAUGUGUGAGACGAAGGAGCAAGUCUCACAAAGAUACUAUAGUGCAGGGACUUGGCUUGUUUGGUUCUGCCCAUUUUGGGCUAAUUCCUGCCAUUUCAUUUUUUUAAAUGGUUUUCAGGUCUUUCUUUGAAUAGACAUUCUGUUUUUACAAAUGCAGUAGAGAGCGUGUUUCUCUUAGAGAUUUCAAAGCAAAAUAGGAGCUGAGUUUGGAGUGCUUGUUCCAUUUCUACAGCACUAAUGAUCAUUAGCAGCAAUAAACUAACUUUACUCCUGGCUUCAAGGGCCUGAGUGCCAUGGGGCAGUCCCACGGCCCCAGCUGCUGCUGGUGGGACCCCUGAAGCCUAACUCUUCUCUGUGAGGUGGGUUUCAUGAGGAAUGUGCCAUUUGGAUGCCACGAGUUGUCUGGACCAUCUCUGUGCUAAAGGGGUUUGUCUGGGGUACAGAAAAACCAGUCCAGUUUUUUAAGAUGGAAAUUGGAGCCAGGAUUUGCUUUUUCCUUCCUGCUGACUCCAGUACCCUUCCUCUGUGAGUCCUUUCUGCUGUGAGGAGGGUGAAAGCAUUGGCUGGCAUAGGGGGAGCUGCUGCCUCCUGUGUUAGAGAUGAAUUAUGAAGAUGCAAACUCCUUUGGAAGCACUGUUUGACAGAUCACAGACGCUGGCCACUGACGUACUUGUAGCAGACUUUUCUCAGCUGCAGUUUCUUUGGGCAUAUCCAAAUGUGAACGUCAUGCUGUCUGGUGCUUUCAUGUGACCUUGUUGUGAGUGACCUUACUGGAGUGCUCCUCUGCUGCUGUGCCACCUGAAUAAGCCUUUUCUCAUGGACAGAUGCUUAUGGGCUGCCCCGAGAAAGGACCUGCUCUGUAUGAUAUUGCCAGAAGCUCCUUUGUCUGACAUGUGUCUGAUGACAAAGGGUGCCAUUAAAAAGAAUGUGGUGUCCUAGAGCUGCUUCUCUGAGUUUGAACUUAUAUUUUGCUGUAGUUUUAGCUUACUUUAGGAGUACCUUUGGAACAAGGGGACGCUUUGUAGAACCCUCUACUGCAGGGAGGCAUGGCUCAGCCCUGCAUAGCAGAACUCCUGCUGUAAGGCGAUGGGGUGCUCGAGGUGUCUGUCUCCAGUGGUGCAGAGUAGACACUGUCCUUCCUGGAUCUGCCUUGGUUAGAAUGCAGGAGUGCUUCCGAAUUAACAUCCCGUCCUACAGCAACUGGAAGUUAGGACUUGGUGCAGGUUCAGCAGUGGUAUGUGUGGAAUUGGAAGCCAGGGAGGAAAAAGUCCAAGUUUUGAACUUGCAGGUGCAGAUGUAAUAAGAAACUCUCAGGAGACUUUAGUCCACAAUGUUUUUUUAUAUAGCAGCUUUCACACAAUCAGUGGAUCCUGGGAGACUGCCACCUACCUGAGGAGUCUGAGAAGAGACCCCUCUGAGCAUAGUGAAAGCCUGUUAUGCUAAGGAGAAUGCCUGAGACCUGCUCAGGUCAGAUUGCUCCUGGCUCUUUGUCCAGGCAGAUGGAGCAAAAUAUUUUAAGUAUGAAAUAAACCUAUGUUCCUGAGAAGCAUGCUGUAAAAUGUCAAUGCUUGCCUUUAUAGAAAGGCUAUAUCUUCAGCUCUGAUGGAUUUCCUCUGCAAAUAUACUACCUAGUUUUGUGGGUUUGCAUGACCUGUGUGUGUGCUGGAUUCCAGAAGAUGCUGAGGACCCUUUUUACCACCAGUGGCCAGAGGAGGGUGUGUCAGCGUGCCCUGUGGAGAUGGAUGCUACAGCUGUCUGCACAUGGCCCUGUUGCAGAGCGCAGGCUGGGUGUUGUGAGGGGCUCUGUCUCUCCCCGUGGCCCUGCCGCAGCAUCUUGGCUUGCUCUCAUGUAACCUGCUUGUGCUGGGACGUGCUUGUAAGCUACAGGACUGUUAAGUGCUGAUUGCAAACGGAACAGGAAUGAUUGCUUGGAUUAUCAGAGGGGAAACUGUGCAAAACGUGACCUUUCCUCUACUCCUCAGGGUAGAGUGAAGGCUUCAUAGCUUCCUGGUUUUUGAACAGCUUGGUAAAUAGUAGGGAUGUGCCUAUGUGUAAAGGCAGGCUGCAGUGGCAUCCAAAGGCUUCCUGGAUGCCAGAGGAGAAGAGGUGAAAAAGUUAGUGGUAAGCAUUCUGAAAAGUCAUGCAGUGAUGGGGAAAUAAUUUAUUCAAGAAGGAAUAACAAAGUCCAGGAAAAUUAUGCGAAAUCAAGCAGUACAGAUGAAAACGUUGCCUUAGCACAGAGCACAGGCUGUGACUAUUUACCAUCAUGAGAUUAGAUGGGGGCUGGUGGAAGCUGCAGGGAGUGCAGCAGCUAGGAAAUAAAGCUGACCAUAAGGUCAGUGCUCAGAGUCAGGUAAAUGAGCCGUGCUGGAGGACAGGGCUCUGUCAUCCCAGAGGUGGUGUGUGCUGCUGUAGUCCUUGACAAGGAGAAUUGUGCUGACAGUGAUUGGCUGUUCCUUAUGUACUGGCCUGAAUUCAUGGGGAAUUUGCAGUGAUAAACUUAGUAAAGCAAGGCCUGCAUGUAGAGAACUGGAGGAAAACCGAAACAAAACAUUCACUGCUCUGUCAUGACCUUCAUUUUAAUAACUUUCAUGCUUUGCUGACCCCUGUGGUGUCUCUACAGCCACGUAUGAUACAGGAGUAAAGACAGCUUGCCCUAGAAAUGGGGAGGAGUCCAGCAAACACAACCCUCACGAGCAUCUGGGAGCUGCGUUCUGAUGGACAGGGUGCAAAACUGUUGGAGAGAGGCACUCCAUUCAGCUGCAGCUUUUGUGACAGCGUGUCUUCCUGUGCGUGGGGAGCAGUGCAGGGCUAGGUGCUAAAUGCUGCGAGGAAAAAAGAGGUUGUGCUGUAAGCAACUGGAAUUUUCCAGUGUCUAUUAAUGAAGGCAAGUUUCAGACCACCUUUUCUGUUUGCUAACUACUGACAGAUAAAGCUUUCAGUCAUCAAACAUAAUUAUGCCAUGAUUAUUUCUCCUGUGCUUUGAGUAUCAACUUCACGGUAAGUAUUGAGGGAAAACACAGUUCUGCAUAUUACAAAAAACAUCUUUAAGGUAUUUUUCUUUUAAAAUACAAAUGUACAAAGGGGUAAUUGUUAGAAAAACGCAGGAGCAGUUGCUGCGUGAUUGUAUUAUGAAGGAUAUGAAAUACAUGUAACAGGCUCUAAAGCUUAACUUCAGUGUUGUAAUUUUCUACCGUGACGUACUUCCAGGAGCGAGCAGCAGGAGGGGACAGCAAUGCAGCAUCUGGCCUGCGUAUUCCAGGUAGUGUGUCAACUUAGCUAGGUUUCCUAGGCCAGAUGUUUUAUGUGUUACAUAUUUAAAUUCCCCAGUUUCAUACAACGUUGUCCCUGGGCCAGUCCUUUCAUAAGGAGCUUAAGUUUGGCCUUUGUGUCAGUGGCUGCAGCCCAGAUGACUUCUGUCCUUUGGUGCUAGGGCUGGCUGCUGGUCCUUAGCAGCUGUGCCGGCUGUGGUGCCAGGCCUGCAGAACAAAGUGGUGCUUAAAAUGUACUGAAAAUAGGUGCAUUAUUGGUAGAAGAAUUCACUCGGUGACCAUGCAGGCUUUGGACACUGUGAUGUGGGGCAGAGAGUGACAUGAUCUGUGCACGUGCCAGUCCUGCAGCCAGCAGAAAAGAAUGAUAUUGGGGCAGGCUGUGCUUAAACCCAGCUCUGAUAUUGAGUUGCUGAGUGACCUCAAGCAAUAUAAAAAUGAGGCUGAUGGUACAUGUACUGCGCUGCAGAGCUGGGGUAGCGUGGGCGUGCUGCUGGUACGAGUGCAUUAGCAGUGCUGCUGGGAGGACAGCUGGUUGCACGAACAAAACCAAAUUGUUGGGGUAUAACUCAGUACUUUUUGAAAGGAAUCUACACUUUGCUGUCUGCAGAGUGCUGAGGUAUAAGUAGUGAAAGCUGCUUGAAGUCUUGGCUAGACAUUAGAGCCAGAUUGUGACUAUGAUUGCACAUCACAAAAGCUGUCUGUUUGGGAGGGGAUUUAGCUGUUUGUUCAUUCAUAGGUUAGACUCUGUCAUGCAAGAGCUGCCCAGUUUGUGCAAAUAUUUGCUUUUUCUAUGACAAAAGCACUGUAUUGGCAGGUUAGGAAACGUAGCAUUUUUGUAUUAAAAGGCACUGGUUAUGCUCUGCCUGUAGCUGUAGACCUAGUUCAGUAAUAUGCUAUUAAGCUCAAUUAGAGUAGCACAGUAAAAUAGAUGUAAUACUUCUGCAAUGGAAUGGCAUGCUAAGACCUGAGCAAACAGAAUGUUGUUACCAUGAAUAAUGCUCCCUGAGCAGUUGGCCUACACGUGUGUAUUUGUUUCUGUGUUGUUGACUUCAUGUUGAUGCUUUUUGUUGGCUGAAACUUUUUCUUUUAAAAUUCAGUAACUGAAACUUGUUAAUGCACAGGACAAAGCAUUGUCUGGGGUCUGUUCUACUUCACUGGAGUGGACUGAAAAGAAACAGCUGCUGUGUUCCCUUUCUCUCCCCAGCCGUACAGAACUUCAGUCUAGGUUGUCCCGCAGUAAUACAUUUCCAUGUGUGUGUACAACCAUCCUGUCUCUGCAUGAUCCAUGUAGUACAUGGGAAAAACUUUCCCAUCUAGUAACUGAUGAGGGUGAUUUCCUGUAAGCCAGCUCUUCUUGUGGUCUCUGGUUUCCAGCCAGUUCUAUUUUUACCACUUUUUUUUUCUUUCGUUCUUUGUUAAAGGAUAUUUCUGUUUGGUAUUCUGUUACUAAAAUGUUUGUUACACCCAGACCAGGGUAAUGUUUUAAAAGGCACCCAUACAAGCAGUGAAGGUGAUAUGUAUCCCACUUGGUCAGAGCUUUUGAGCCACCUCCUAACGUUGGCAUCAGUCUGCAGGACCUGUAGGAAUGGGAGCCAUGACUACACUGCUUCUGGCUGCUGAGCUGAAGCCUGGGCCGUAUAACAUUGCAGACUGAGGGUGCACAGGAGGAAUCCAGCAGUGUAAAGCUGGUGAUCGGUGAUGAAGCUGGAAGAGAUCCCAGCGCAUGGGGGAAGUGUGGAAGUGAAAGGAGAGCCAAGGAGGAGUGCAGAGGAUAGAGAAGUGAGAGGAAGCUCAUUUAGAACCAGCACUCCAUUUACCUCGAAGUAAAUGGAAAUCUUGGCUGCGGUUACAGGUUGUGCUGCAGUACCAUGCUGCAGGGCCUGUGUGUAUUUAAUCCCAAUCUCAGUUUGAAUUUUCUCCCAGGACUUCAGGAAUCUGAAUCCUUCAGGAAACACUUAGCAUCGUGCUGCAGAGAGGGCUGGGAGAGAUACCACUUCAUGAUGGCAGCAGUUCUACUCCACUGACACUGAGCUAGCCAGGUUUUUGGAAAUACAAAAAGCAGUGCUGUGAAGGUUACUGUUUCACGAGUGCUACUUGGAAACAGUUAGGUCCUUCUUCAGACAUGCUCUUCCCCCUCCCUACCCCACUUGGUAAAUCACAUCAUUAGACUGGCUUCAGAAAGCUGCAUGUUCUGUCAUCAAAAUACCAGAAGAAUGCAGCGUGCGCUCCAAGCAAAGGGUCAGCUUUCUAUCUGCGGGAAUGUGGAGGUGCGUUUUGGUGCUUGCAGUCAACCUGGUUUGUGCCCACACUAAGGUAAUUAGAUACUUAGCUGGGAAGGUGAACAUCCCUGGUUGCUCAUAGAUAGUAACAGUUGACAAGAGAUGCUGAGAAUUUUCCUGUGAAAAGCAGGCAAAAUUUUUCUGCUGCAGUGACAGCUCACCAGAAUGGCAGAUUUGAGAAGAGGUGUGACUUCAGCCCUUUUGACAAGAUGCCACCGUGGCUUUGAAGCACUGCUAGCGGCGUGAGGAGUGCUUCUGUUCUUCAUUAGGCACAGCUGCAGCGUUCACAGCAACAGCCCCGGACUUGGGGCUGACAUUUCAUUGCAGGGAAUCAUAUGGUUAUUUCAUGUUAUUCCUGAGAGUUGCGACAUCAUUUUGAUUAAAUACUGCUGGGGGUAGGCUGGCAGUGGAAGUGGUGCUUGCAGUGAGUCAUCCUCGCUAAUGGAAACUAUUUGAUAGAGAAACAGGAGUUAUUAGCAAGAUAGCAUUUCUGUUCUGAAUCCCUCUUUUUUUUCCUUCUGUGGGCAGUUUUGCAAAUUACCUUUAGGCUGGAGGGCCUCAUUUAUUUUCAUUCUAGCAACAAACAUUUUUCUCUGUGUGUGGGAUAGGAAGGGUUUUUUGUCAUCUGUGAACUCCAAAGGUGUUCUCUUCUGCUGUGUUUUAUUCUGAUCCUGUUUUGCACUUAAAUGUUGGAUAUAGCUAGUGCUGCAGGUGGACUGUUAAAAGGCAUUUAUUUUUAAAGUGCUAACUUGAGGAAUGUGGACAUUAAAUAACAGUAAAAUAAGUACAGUUGCCUUGGAACACUGUUUUCCAUCACUUUAGGAAAUCAUAAGAGUUCCUCCCUCCAGAAAAAUAAUCAAGGUGCCAGCUUAACUUUCAAGCCCUUAAAUGGACUGUAGGGGAUUAUGUACAUGAUUAAACUUACUCCCCUACAUAAGACAUCUUUUAAGGCUGUAACCAGAACUCUUGGAUGUUAAUGUUGCCAUUUGCUGUCUGUAUGCUUAAAUGUCUUCCUCUGGGUUUUUGGGUAUUCAGGAGCAUUAGUACCUCCUCCCCUAUGCAGGGAAUAUGAACCUCAGGGUUGAUGGAGGGGCAGAGGGAAUGGAAAAAAUGCAGAACGGAAUCCAUGAUGUCUGACAGUGGGUUACAGGUUUGGAGGAAACUCCGGUACUAUCUGGUCUGGCCAUGUCUGCAAGCUGUCAUCCACGGAGGGCUCUGAGAGUGUAGGAAGGACACUAAAUGUUUUUCUUUAAUCCCUCUCUUCUCACAUUUGGGAAACCCAGACUACAUCUCGACGAAGAAAAAUAUUUUUAUAUUACCUGAAGAGAGAAUCUACAUGUGUUUAACAACACAUCAGGUAAGAGAAUGUUUCUUUUGUAACCACAGCUCAAACAUUUAAACCUUCAGAUGGUGCAGAUGUCCUGUGUCUGUGCACGUUCAUCUCUGCAGCCUUCCUUAGCAAAACUAAUCAGGUUGCUCUUAUCUCCAUCUUUUGAAAAUGCACAAUUUUUUUCUCCUUGACUUGGGACUGACUGAAGCUGUAGGUAUUCUCCCUCCCCCCAGUUUGUACUCAGUACUGAUGAAGCAGCUUCUCUUCUAGUUUAAUAAUGCUGAAUUGUGAGUGUCCCAUAUUGCAUUUCCACCUUUCAGGUUGCCAAGGCAUCUUCCUUGCUCUUUAGUCAUGCAAAGCAAGGAAGGGUUCAAGACACUUUUCAAGCAGGAGAGAGGGGGAAGGUAUUUCUAACAGGCUGCUCCAACCUGGUGCAUCGUGUCAUAGCAAGGAAGGCAGUGGUAAGAUCUAUGUGAGGAGCUGAGUUACGCAUCAAGGAGGUAAGCUGCAGCCUUGCUUCAAUGGAAUGAGUGGGGCACUUGGCUUUGCUGGCUACAUCUUUGCCUGAGACUUUUCUGCUAAAGAAGCUAGUAGCCAGCAGGUGCUCUGUGCUUCUGUUGGAUGCCUGGGCCUUAUGCUGGGACUAAGAACUGGCCCCUGGGUUUAUGAAAACGGCAGUCCUGAAUGUGUGCUCUUUAUUUCCUUACCUGCUGUGCAUUUCAGACUUCUGUCUUGCAUCCUAUUCCGUUUUUUCUCCUUUCAGUUCAUUUCUCCCCAUCCUUUUAGCAGGGGUGUGUGUGCUGGUAUUGGCAGAAAUUCAGAAAUCAGCUAGGUUUGUGUUUGUAUGGAAGGCUUUCAUCCACUGCACUUCUUGUGCCGCUCUAGUAUUAGGACAGCAAUCUUGCUUUAAUAGCAUAUAAAACAGUCAUGUUUUUGUAAGCCUGUAAUGACAUGCAGUGUUUUAUGCAAGCAAUAAAACAUGAUACUGCUUCUUCCAUUUAGAAGGCUGUGUGCCUUUCUUUCUUUAAUGCAAUUAAGUUGACAGCAUUGGGGUUGUUCCUGCCUUACGUCUAGGCAAAUGAACAGGUAAUAAAGAGCAAUACAAGUUCACUUGCAGUGUGUGUUGACUCAUUGCUCAAUCUUGCAUGUGUAGCAGAAAAUGCUUUCAUCACAAAGAUGAAAAUGGGUGUUUUCAGAUGGGAAAGCUCUGAGUCUAACAUCCACUGACCCGAUCAAUUAAUGAGCAGGCCUGUGAUUUUCUGGUUUCUUGUGAAACCAGACCACAGGGUUAUUUUAAAUAGUUUGCUUCAGGAGAAGCAGUUGCUGAGAUGAACAGGUGCAGCCCUGCUUUGAGCAGGGGGGUUGGACUUUAAAGAUCUCCAGAGGCCCCUGCCAACCUCAGCCAGCCUGAGGUGCUGUUCUGGGGAAUGCUUGAGGACAUCAACUUGUUAUAAAGCAGCUUGCUUCAUGAGCUUUUUAAAUAUUUUGUGUGUAUUUCAUUUGGGACACUUAAAGAGUCCUGUGAGUGACCUCAUCUCGACUUCCUCCUGGCUCUUCAUCCCUCUGCUGAUCUCAGGUGUUGGAGCUUCAUCAUGAUGGUCUUGAAGACUGUUGCCUUCAUCUGGCAGUUCUUGCACUUCUCCUCUAGGUGUUCCUACAAAGGGAAGCAAGAAGUAGGCUGCCAGAGCCUGCUGUUACGUCUGGAUCAAAGCAUCUGAAGUGUGUCAAGGGUGAGCUGUCCUAUCUGCUCCUGGGCCAAUGCUAUCCAGAUCACAUUAAUAGUCUAGGCCUUUGCUAAGAUGCUGAAUAUGAGUAAUCUCUUUGUCCAGAGAGCUUGGGUUGAAGCAUCCUCUUAGCAUGAGCCAGGGAUUUGCAGUAUGGAUGGUGGGUGAGGCUGAUCUGGCAGCAGCCUCUUAGCUGAUGGUGUGACCGUGUGCUUCACGUUACUGUCCCUCUGGAGCUUUCUGGGGACAGCUUGGUCCUGCCUGUACAUCUUGCUGGCUCUUGCUUGUCCAUAUCCCUUGGGUUGAGACGUGUUGACAUAGUGACAACAGCUGAUAAACUUAGCAAAACCAGCCUUACUUAGUUGUAUUUGGAACAUGUAGCAGAAGCAGGCUCCAGCUUCCCUGAUGGCAGGGCUUCAGGUACUGUCUGUUGGUUAAUGCUGCUGUCUUCACGGUGUCAGCCAACUGCAGUCCCAGCUUCUGGAGCUGUGUCUUUCAGUUGCGCUAUGGAAGCUGAAAGAUUAAAGCCUUGAAUCAGGAAAGCCACCAAGCACAUGAUUUACUCUAAGUGCCUCAGUGCUCUGCUAAGUGAGGAUGGAUUGCCCGAGUACCUAAAUAGAUGCUUAAAUGCUUUGUAAACUCUGUCUUUAAAGACUUUCUCCCAAAGGAUGCUGUAGAAGCAUCCACUGAAGUAAGUGAGGAUGAUGGGGACUGAGUGCAGUCAGUGCUCGGCAGCUACAAGAACUGCUGUGACAAUUUAGCUUUUUUUUUUUUUUUUUUACCACUAGAACAAAUCACCAGGAAGCACAAUUUGUGUGUGCAUAGGUAUAUACAUAGGUCGUUCUGUAAGUAAUGCCUCCUAUUUAUUUCCAUGGAAACUGCAAUGGCUUGAAAGAGCACAAGAACGCUAUUUGAUGGAGCAAAUUCUCAUUGUUUUUCCACGCAGCCACCACCGUUAGCUGUGUAUUUUCACCAGUGAUGAGCAAAAGCCUGCAUGCUGUGCUCAUAAAAAGCAAGCACCAGCGGAGGUGACCCUCUGUUGCCACUGCUGAACUGCACCAUCCACUGCGUCACUGUGCUCACAUCCAUUGUUUGGUCCCCUAAGCUCUGAGCGCUUUUACCCUGCCAGAAGAUAGAUCCUGGAGUUGCCUUAAGAUUUGCUGCAUGUGUGCUUUUACUGCUGAUUUUCUACAGAAACACUGAUAGUGGGCAACACCUACGUAUCUGUAUAAAUAACCUUGCUGAGUGUUGGUAUGGCACAACCCCAUUCUCAGCUGUUUCCUAAAUGCUGUCGUAAUCAAAAUAAGAAGUAAUAAUCAUUGCCUAAAUCAGUGCAACCUACUGUAAAUGUGGUCGUAGAAGUGCUCAGGCGGAAUGGUGUUGUUCAAGGAGCAAUGCACAGGUGUAGCUGGGAAGGAAUGCUGCUUUCUGGGAGAAGGACCAAGGCUUUUCAUCACAGUGCCUGCUGCUGGUGGUGCUGUGCAAGGUGCAGGCCAGGGGAAUGGCAGCAUGUGGGACAGAGCUCCUGGUGAGCCCAACGUGGUGAGCACUGCACCUGCCUGGAGUGGCACAGGUGAGAGCAUGAGAAUGGGAGAAACUGUGAUUGCAAAGAGGUGGUACAGAAUAUGGUGCUAGAGGAGAACGCUGCUAGGCAGUUGAGGUCAAGGAAAAUGGCAGAAAGGUUUUGUGAAUGCUUUUAUUCAUGCACUUUUUUCCUAUGUUUUUCCAGUUCAAAUGCUGUUGUGUCCUUUGGACUUAAGUUUUUAGCAGUACUUCUAAGGUCAGAGCAAUAUGCGGGGGAGGGGAAGAGGCCACGAGUGCUCUUUCCUCCUGCCCACUCCUCCUCCUUACUCUGCUCAAUUACGUCCAGUGUUCAUUCAACUCAGAAAGAUGAUUGUUUUCCUCCUAACUUUCCUCAAAAACAGCCUCAUUAAAUUCUGUGCAAGGAGGAGGGCUGAAUGGGACACCAGCACAUCAAAGGUCUGCUCUGUCUACUGGGUGAAGCCCCUUAUGUAAGGCAGCAACGUGGGGACAGAUGGGGCCUUGCAGCAUCACCUUGCCAGCAUCCCUUGCAGGCCCCACAAGACAGUGUGGCAGUUCUUUCCCCUGCCAGAGCUGGGCUGCUGCUGCUUGCUGGGGUGAAGUGGGUGCAGAGCCACGGCUGGUCCUUUGCAGGCUGGCACUGCAGACUUGGGCAUCUAACAGCACCCUGUUGCCUAAGGAAACGAUUUGUCUUUUUACGGCGUGCACAGAGUGGUUUUCUCACACUUUCCUGGGCUGCUUUUUCUCACCAAAUGGCCCAGUUAGUGCCAAGGAGGUGUCUGUGGGGCUGCUUCUGAAUUAGGACUUUCUGCCGUGUAGCUAUGUGCGCCCCAUGCUGCGCUGUGCAUCACAGAAAAUGGAAGGUUUAAAGCAAGCAGGAAGGCUCUAUGCUGCCCCUAGCAGCAGGAUAUUAGUUCAGAGGGGACAUAGCAGGAUGAAAUGACAGUGUAUAAAAUUGAAAAUCGCAGUUAAUGGAGGGGAGAAACAGCCAUGUUGGGAACGGCCAAAACCCCAAAUGAGCAUUUGGUUGGGUGAAGGAACUUGGUUAGCCAGGAGCUGGAGAUGGUGCUCCUUCUCUCUGGCUGUAGCUAGGGGAUUUAGUGUAUACAGUACAGCUUGUGCUGCUUUCUUUUGAUGCCCUGUCCUUGCUGAUUGAAAGCUUCUUCCUAUAACUGCCUAGGUGUUGUAGCUUUGAUAUACUUAUUUUUCUUAUCUACUGCUCACGUUCCGUGCAGUAAAUGUUUGCAUAUGACACUUUUAGCAUAUCUCUUCUUGGUUUUCUCCAAACUUUACUCAUGUUGAUUCGGUCUUUCCACCUAGGCCUUGCUUUAUUGAAAUAGGGUUAUUUCAUCUCUGCAGCUAAGUUGAUAGCCAAAGCAAAUGAACUGUGCAUAAUCCUGACAGAGAAAUGGCCAUCAGUUGGGGGUGUCUGCAGAGGGGUUGCAUUGGCUUUGACAGCUCUGCUGACCUCAACUGCAACUGUGUGGCACAGGUGGGGGGGGAGGAGGGGAGCUAGUGCUGCACAAAUUAAUGUAAACUUUGUCUAGUAAUGUUCUGGAGUCCUAUCUGCAGUUGUAUUCAGUUCAGUGGCUCAGCAAUUGAUUGCUUAAAUCUGAGGGUUUUUUCUGCCCUGUCAGCUUUAUCCGCAGCCACAUCAAGUAGUUGAAGCAAGUUGCCUUGGAGAAUUCAGCCUUUGGCUGCUACUAAUUCAAAAGACAGAUUUUCAGGAUUGUGAAUAACAUGUCUGUGUCCUUGUGUUUCCCCGUGGUUCUGUCAAACUGGAAUUUUUCUGUUUCAGCGUAGAAGGACAAUGAGGAGUGAAGAGGGAAGAGUUGAAAAAGGGGCAGAACCGUGAUUGAUUUGGAAGGAGAUGCGGUGCUUUGUGCCAUCGUGGCCUUUCAUGGAAGAUGGCUGUGCUGCUGCUGGUCAUGCAGGAUGGUACUUGUUUCAGCAGCAUGUAAAUGAGCACCUGGUUGCCACGGAGAAAUUUGUCUUUGCACAUCGUGAGUGUGGCACUUCUUGCCAUGUAGCAAACCUAUACAGAUUCAGGCAGUAAGAUUUUUUCUGUCUUUCAGCCCAUAAACCUGUGGAUAUGUUAGCUCUUACAUGUAAACAUACCUCACUGUAGUGUGGAGACCAAGGAAUGAUGACUUAACAGUAAGUGGACAGCACCGUGACUACUGAAGUAUGCAGGUUCCCUUACACUCUGUUAGUUUGCUGUUGGUGUGUGAAUUUAUCCCAGGCCUCUUAACACUGGGCAGUUCUUGAAGAGCUGCUUAGAUGUUGUGAUUUAAGUUCUACGUCUCUCCUAACCAUGAGGUACAUGCAACACGGUAGUAAUUACAACACACCAAUUCGCACGUCUGUUCACUGGCUUUUCAUUUGUUUUGGCAGUGACUGUAAAUCUAGCAAUUCCUGCUUCCAUACCGAGCCCGCACCUGUGGUUUCUGCCAGCCAUGGCUAUAGGAGAAUGGGUAGGCGAGGCUGAGAUGUGAAAUAGCAAUCUAUAAAUGGCUGGUUACCAGAGCUGUGCUUCUGUCGAGAGUUUAUCAUGGUGUAAGAAAGAAGGGCAGUGAAUUUGUGUGAUUUGUAGAACAUUAGCCACACAGAGCUGAUCCAGGAAUGUAGCCUCCUAGAGCCUGUAAUACCGACUCUGAAAUAACAGAGCUUAAUUAUUCAUGGGUAGGAGCUGCUUCUGAAGCUACUAUUCAUACUGAAUAUUUAAGAAAUUGUUUCAGAUAACUCUGACAAGAAGUGUAUUUCUUGUUUCUUACCCCUGGGUUUUAUUGUUUGCAUCUGCUAUGGUCUUUAAAUAAGGACAGUUUUCAGUAAGAUUAAUCUUGCAUUUUUAGUCCCCGAUGUAAUGUGGUUUUAUUUCUGAAGGAAGAAGCUCCUUCAAGUAAUCCAGUGUGCUAUGAAGCAGUCUUCUACUCAGCGACGUAAACAGCCCCCAGCUUUCAGCAAGCGUUUGGAAAGGAGAAGUAACACAUUUUUGUGAAUUAGAACAGUCACAGAAGAGCGAGUUAAAUGCAAUGUUAGCAUAUUCGGAGUGGUGAGUGUAAUAUGCUGGUGUCCCAUCCACACGGGGCAGAUGAUUAUCAGUGCACGCAGCUCUCAAGGCUCUCCGUCAUUUGAGGUAGCAGAAGCGCUGUACUUUCAAGCAAAGGACUUCAAGUCCUGAUUUUCUGACAACAUGCAACGGAAUUGUUCACAAUUAGUCUGAAUAUUUAUUAUGUUGCUUUCUGACUGACACUGGGUUGUUGGAUUAACGGUUGCUUGACAAUCAGAGCUUCCUUUGCUUAUGAGAACACAAAAUGCUGCUUUGUGAUUGUGUAGGUGGGACCUUGCUGCAACUGGGUGAAAUGGGUAAGCAUACUGAAGUCUCAGUAUGCUUACUGAAGUCUCCUGGCCACGGCACAGUGCUCGUCAGGGCUGAAGGAGAAGAUGAAGAGGAGAGGAGGAAGAAAGCUAGCUCAAGCUUCAUGCUAGGGUUUGAGGGUCCCUGCAGGUAAAGUUGAUUUACCUUUCUAGGAAGCUGUAAUACUUAACUUGACCUGAAGCAGCAGAUGGAGGGCUUUAGUCUGUGAAAGAAAUCUGUAUUUCUGGCUUUUACUUCGAGCAAGAGGUCUGUAGGUGGCUUGUUGAGUGUUCUGUGAAUUCAGUGCGUGUUCUCUGUAUUGCUAAACUGGGCCUUUUUUAAUUUUCCUAAGGAGCAUACAAAACUCUUCAUCCUCCUUAAGCUUUAACUUCUUUGCCCAAAAGUCAAAAACAGGUUACUUCAAAAUGAGUUUCCCUGUCAGACCAUACGUUGUGCUGGAGCAGGAGCACGUCAUUCAUGUUGGCGUGGCUAGAAGCUAUUUAUAUCCUGCACUGGGACUGUAUUUCACUUUUCAGAUGAACCAGUGUGUUCUGAUUUUGUGUUUACUUAUCUGAAAGGAAAGAAUCUGAAAGAAUCCUGUCUUCAUAAGGCUUUAAAAUGAACAGAGGCUUUUCUCUGUUAAAUUGAACCAAAGCUUGUGUGUUUGGAAAUCCCUCCCCGCACCCCCCUCGGUGAGACCGUGUCUGAUUACUAGAGGAGGAGGAAAGAAAAGCCUUUUGGGGAAGUUUUGCUCUCUUUGUGUUAACUUCCUUAAAAAUGAUAAUAAAAUUAAGUUGUUGCGAUGUGGCUUAAGUCAAUGGCAGUAGAAGUCAGAGGCUUGGAAAUAGUGUGGGUUCUCCCUUUUCCAGGGUAAGCCAUUCAGCAUUCCUAACAGACUCGUGCUGGGAGAAGCAGACAUCACCAGCAAGGUAUUUCCUGGAGCCUUUUGCCAAAUGCUAAUAAUAAUAAUAACAAUAACAAUAAUAAAAAGACUCAGAUCUGAACUGAGCCACUUGUGACUUCAUUUGGCAGCAUAGGCCUGUUCUACAUAAACUUCUGCCUCUAUUUUGAUACUCAUGGCUGCCAAAAGCUUCUGAAUUAAUUUGCCCCCCUUCUCCCUCCCCUCUUCCUCUUGCCUUAGCAAAGGAGUAGUGGAUCACACUUAGAGCCAAAGAAACAUAUGGGCUUGGGAAGCUUCUGCAGACUAAGGCUCUGCUGGCUCUUUGUGAGGAUGGUGCCCCGACCACAAAGGCUGGCCUUGUGCUCUCCUUGGGCUCCAUCUCCUGUGCACCAGCUCUCUUGAGUCUUGCUGCUUUCCUGUGGUUUUCUUUUCCUGCUGCCUUUGCCUACCGGUUUUCUCCCAGCUUGGGAUGCCCUCCCAGUCUAUUGUAGCCACACUGAAUAUAAGAAAUAUGGGCCUACCUUUUCUCCCUUGCCUCUGUGUUGGAGAAGCAAUAUGGACUUGCUUUAUUAUAUCGUUCGGUCCAACAAGAAGACAGCUUUAGGGGGAGAACAAGGUCUCACUUCUCCUCUCUGGGUGCCUAAUCCAUGUCACAUCCUGGUGCUGCUUCAGAAAUCCUUCAGGUCACUUUAUCUGUGGUUACAUCACGGAAAGCCAAAUAAAAAUGCCUAUGGCACAGAGCGCUGGAGCAUGUAUGCGAAGGGUGAAAGUCUGAUCUGCAGAUACGCAACAGGAAGGCAGAGCCUUGCCAGCACAUUUCAGAGUCGUAGGGAAAGACAUGAGAGCAUUUCAAAAGUUUGAGUCCUGCGGAGAGUAACCAGGAAGGAAUGACUGGGGAUGUCUUUUUUUAUUGAGGGAAAAGCAGACAUCUGUGAAAACGCUUGUGUGAGGAUCUGAGCUGCCUCUGCUUAGGAAACGGUGGUACCCUGAAGAGACAGGCUUGGAUUUGUUAUAUAUUAAAAUGAAGUAACAGUUUCAUGGUAAUUGAUAGUGUUUUGUGACACAUCAGUUCCAGUUUCUGCUUUGUUAAGCACUUUUAAGGCUGCUUCAGUGCACCCAGCAUCACUUCCCCAACCGCUGGGACCUCGGAACCACCAGCUUGUUCAUCUCUGCUCCUGCCAGAGCUGGAAGUGCUGAGUUCUCCCAGCCUCCUGGUUUGCCCAGACAGCACCUGAUUCUCCUCGGAGAAAACCCAGUACGGAAAUGUGAGCAUUACCUCUGGGGAUCAGUUAGAAAGUGUACAUCCAUGUGGUUGUGUGUCAGUAGCAGAGGGGUGUGUGUGAAGCUGCUUUUCUUUCAGUGAUUAAAUUAACUGUGGAAGAAAAUGCUUCCUGUGGAGCUAGAUUAUAAUGAGUCUGCAUAGGUUAAAAACUAAAGGCAACUACUGUCAAGAAAUCCCUUAGUUUUGGCACCUGAUAUUCCAUCUAGGUUGGUAUUGCCUCACCUGAAGACUUUUAUCUGACACUGGUUUUGGAUAGACUCUAUUGCUGAUGUUGUACUUAGCUAUCAAGAUGAGAUUGGUAAUGCUUUAAUUGAUUUUCAAGGGUAGGAGAAAAUGCAGUUCUUGAUAACAAUUGCAAUUUUGGGUAAUGUAUGCUGAAAGUGAUGCAUGGGCCACUCAGAGCUAAUAAUAACGUGGCUGAUCUGACCUGUCUUGGCUUUAAAAUGCCUAGCAGAGCUUGCUGGGGCCUUCAAGAGUCUCUGCGUCUGCAGCUGGAUCUCCACUGUGAGUCUUCCUCGCUUUGCAUUGGGUUUUAAAUAUUAACAUGUAAACAAAUCAAGUUGCUCUCAUGAUUUUUCCUGCUAAGGCUUUGUCUCUGGUGCUGUGGCUUCUUAGCAUGGAGAGGUUUUCAGUGAGGGGCUGGAAAGGCUGUGAACCUUCCCAGUCUGUGCUGGGGCAAGAACAUGCAGGGACUCCUGGCUCUGCAGUAGCACUCACCUGAGCUGCUACUCCUGCACUGUUCAUGUGGGGUAACUCAGAUGGGAAAGGAGACUUAAUUUGGCGCGCAGAGAGAAAAUAUUGAAGAGUUUGGAGAUCAGCUGUCAGCCCUGGAAAUGGGGCUUGCCAGAAGUAGUGACAGACCAAGCUUGUAAGGCAAACAAUGCUGCACAAAGGACUGACAAGAUCCCCCCAUAAUCUACAUUAAAAAUAGCUUUGACUGUCUCUAGUUUUAGUGUGAUCCAUUCAGUAAUUCAUAUGGCAUUCCAUAUGUUAGGGUGAGAGGAAGGUGGAAAUAGUAGGAGUUGGGGAAAAAGCCACUGACUGAUCCAGAUCCUUAUGCCGUUUCUGUUCAGUUAAUUGCAUGCGUUUAGUGUCAUAACGUGAGCAGAUGGGGUGUUUCACAGUUAUGUGGUGUAUGUGUAUAGAUACAUAGAUUUCUAUAUGUAUCUCAUUCCCUAGCAUUUGAUUCCACAGGGCUGCAUCGAGGCUUUCCCAACCACGCUGAUGGAGCGUGCAGGGGAGAGGAUGCGAUAAGCAGUGGUGGGAUGGGGUGGGUGAUGGCUUUAAUAUUGGGAUCUCCUAACCCUGUGAGAUGUGCACCUGCUUGACAAGCAGUCCUCUGGUAUGCAGCUUUGCGUUUGGUCGCGCUCUUCUGAGGUUGCCAUGUUGUCUUGUUUGUAGCUGUUCUGAAAUCAGUAAGCAAACUUCUUUGUAGACCUGCAUCUCAGUCAUACUCUGUUCUUUGGCACCGAGGCUCUUUCCUCCACCCAAGGAAUGACCCUUUUAGAACAAGGACUGUGUGAAGGACAGCUGACCCUGGCAGCAGUGACUUAGUGCCCUGCAGGUUCCCUCCUCUUGCUCAGGCUCCUGGAGCAGCCGGACAGCUGCUCCAGGAGUGGCUCAAGUGAUGCUAUGCUGCAGUAACUGGUGUUUCCUGAAGGGCUGGUAUUCCACAUGACUCCUAGUCCUGCACUUUCUGGCUCCCCCUGGGUAGUGAGCUCUGUGCUUUCCUUCCAUGGCUCCGUCAGCAGCCUCCCCUCCAUGCAGGGCACCUGGCAGUGUGCAGCAGCGGGAGGAUGGCAACCAAGCUGCCUUCCCUUGCUGCUACAGCCUUUUAAAGGAUGUAGUAAAGCAGAUGGCACAGUGCUGAUACCCAAUAAACAGCCAGCAAGUGAAUAAGCCUGUUUGUCAGCUUGGGCUUUGCUCUGCACUAGCCUGUGCUGGCAGACUCAGGGCCUUGCCUUUGGAGCCUCUGCUCCUGCUGGGAGCUCACCAGGGGAGAGGUUUGCCUGGAGGGCCACUUGCUGCAGGUUUUCAAGCUGCAUCCUUUUUGCUUUCUUUCUUACUGCAUGCAGGGAGGGUGGUGUAAGUAGGCAUCCUGGGGCAUCUGAGCUACCUCGCUGUCCCCAGAGGAUUCCCAUGUCAUGUGAUGCCACCUGAAAAUGCACCAGCAGGUCUCAGCUGGGAGGCUGAGACCCAUCACUUUGCUGACAGAUGCUGUCCAUCAGCAUCUCUGUCGUCAUCUGUUUGCUGUGCAGCUGUUAAGCUUGCUGCAAGCAGGCGCAGUACCUACUGCUCUGAGGUUAGUGUUUGGGAAUGUUUGCCUAUGAUUGGGAAUGUGGCCUUAUCUAGAAAGGUCAACCAAAAUUGGCAAUAAAUAAAUAAAGGUGGCUUGAAGGAAAUGUUUCCUCAGCCUGUUUCUCCUAUUCCUGGAAGUCAGAAAAGAGAUGCGGGAGCUGGCUGGGCUCUCACCUCUGGUCCAUCAGGCUGCUAUACCCCUUCUUGUCUCUCUCCUUCUGCCCCACGUGGCCUCCUCUCAUUUGUUAGCAGGUGUUUGUGAAGAGCCUUACACUAAGAGGGCUUUUACUCCUGAAGAGUGUUUGUGGGCUUUGAAGGAAAAUAAUAGUAAUUGGCUGGGCAAUGCAGACAAGUAUCAGCUGCUGUACACAGGGGGAAAACAGGAGAUGGAGCCCCCCGGUGCCUUUCAGGGAGGACAGGUUAGCCUAGGACAGGGAGAGCCUUUAGGUCUUUUAAAGGGGCAAAACCCGAGCCACAAAAAUUAAAUAGCAACAUGUGGAGUAGUUGAGGGAAAACAAAAUGAGAUAGCAAAAAAAAAUAUAUAUAUAUAUAUAUAUAUCCCUUAAGCUUUUUAUCUUGUCUUGUUCUCAGAGUUCUCCAUCAUGUGGCAGACAGCUGCUCAGUGCAUGGAUAUUAGGGACGUGCUGUCAGGAGACUUCUGUCUCCAGGUGAUGCCUGCCUUCUGCACUCUGCUCAUCAGGUUGCAUGUUGCAGGGUAGGCUUUUUGAACUUACUGAAGUGUAAAAUUAUUUUUACUAAACCAUAAAAAAUAAAUCAGUGUUCAGUUAUUUCUGUCUUGGCUAUAUGCUGGAGUCAAUCUGAACAUAUGUAUGAGUGUAUGCUUAUUAAUAAAAGAUAACUUUAUAUAGAGAAGGCUUGUGGUUUCUCUCUUAUUCAAGGGAAUGAGAAGAGACAAGGAAAAAGGCUUUGGGGUUAGGUGGGAAAGCGGAGAGAAAACCGCUGCAUUUUGUUUUGCUCAUGUAUCAGCACUGGUGCGGUGUGGGCAGAAGUCUGACUCCAGGGCACAGCACCUGCACUAAGCAGCUUUCACUAGAGGACUGCCGCACUGGUUUGAAGCAGUGGUUACCUGUACCUCUGGGGCAGGGGGUGAGGGAGGCAAGCUCAGCACAGGGUGAUCCGUUGCUGCCAUGAAGGUAUGGGGCUGAGGGAGUUGAAAUGUGGCUGUAGAGGGCUGGCCUCAGGAGGGGCUUUUAAGUGUGCUUAGUGACUGACAAACGUUAAACUCCUCUGGAGUAAGAGUAUUUUGGAAUUUAGGAAAGGUGGGAGGCAAGAAUCAGCUGGUCUGUCUGAUGGGCAGCAGAUGGAGCAUAGGAAGAGAUGUUAUUUUUUUUUUGAGAAGUUACUAUAAAUCUGUCCAAAGAGUACAAAGGGAAGUAAAGCCAUUACCUCCUGCCAGUGUCUCACUGAACCUUUGCAUAUGCUCCUCACAUGGUUUGCCUGGGUGAUGUUGACCUGUGCCCUCAGGAGCAGCAAGGGAAGGGAGCUGAGCAGCAACCAUUAAAUGCUGCAGUGGGAGACAGCCUCAGGAGGAAGAUGUGUUGAGCAGGCUGCUUUCAUUAGGGUCCCUACUGAUGGGCUCAGGGGGUCAGCAACUGGGAGCAGUCUAAAUCCUGCAAGAAGGAUCAGCAAAUAUAGUCUGCUGAUGGAGCAGGAAGGGCUGGAAGAAUUGUGUUCCCCAGCACUGUGGUGGUUAAAGCUCCAGCAAUAAUGCUGAGCUUGGGUGCAGCCAGUGGGUGCUGUUGGAGAGACACUUAACGUGAGUUUUCCCAGAACUUCCAGUCCUUUGGUGGCCUCAGUGGCCAGCAUCUUACAGUGCAGGGCUGGUGUGUUCUCGAGGAAUAUGGGAUGCUCACAGAAGCCCAGGCAGCCUUAUUUUGUCGUGGUCCUGUAUCUUGUUUGACCGUUAGAUGUGUUUGUGGUUAACUAAUAACUUUUUUUAUAUUUCCCCUUUAUUAACAAGUGUGCUAACUAUUUCUCUCUUGGCUCUUCAAAAGCUAGUCGCUACGUAGGAAGGAAUAAGAAGUGAAAUUGGGGAGUGAAUUGGUAGCUUUCAAGCAAAUACAGACUGAUUUAGUGCUUUUAAAACCUCACAUAUGUGAUGAACAGAGAAUAUAUCCUAUAAUGAAAGCCCAUUCCUCUUCCACUAAUCUGUUGUCCUGUGACAGCUCUGUCAGAAAGGUUUAUAUCUGAGUGUAAGCCAUGAAAUAUUGAAGAAGGGUGUUGCCAGCUGUUCAAAUUCUGAGGUUUCUGUUUUGCAUGGAUUGGAAAGCAAUUUAAAAAGGUUAAUGAGGGCAGUACCGAAUAUUAGGCAAUUUGUGAGUGGUGUGAAUCAGGGCUGCUAUUAAACAAAGUGAAUCCCAGGUUUCAUGUGCUUAAUCUACACGGAUUUAGGUGUCCUGUCAGAGCUAGUGCGGUCGGUGUGUGCCUCAGGGCAGCGUGUCCUGCUGAGGCCUUGUGGGUUGGCUGCUCCCUGCUUGCUGCUGAGCCCUGGCACAGCCACCGAGGUGCACGCAGGCUCAUAGCAGAGUUGGGAAAGUGAUAGAGCUCAGGGAGACACGGUAAAGUAACAUCAUGCUCAAAAGACGAGAGGGAGAAGGUAGCUCUGCAUGUUGGUGAGCCCUGGUAGCUAGAGGGGGAGAGAGGAUAUCCAGAGGAGGAAAGGGACUCCAGCAAAGAAAAUACAGCCUUCGUGUGGAAUUGGGAAGAUGUCCUCUGAGCGUGAAUGGUGGCAGUGGGCCACCCUCCUGCUGUAUUCCUUGGGCUUGGAAAGGCUUGCAAUAAUAGCUUUUUUGGGUGAGCAUAGCCAGUUAUUUUGGGGAUGGUUAGCCUGACUGUGAGCUUUGGGUUUGUGACAGGUUGCAGUUGUCCUUUCUGUAGAUGACACUGUGUUUUUCCUUCCCUUCUCCUACAAAGUGUAUCUAAUCCAAUUAUUUCUGCAGGUUUUUUUUUAAGUUGUGUUUUACUCUUUAUGAUGAAAGCAAUGCAUUUCCUUCUUCUUGAGUUUUCAUGACCAUCUUUCCCCAAAAUAAAACAGCGAGGCAGUAAGAUGAACAUUCCUCUUGUUUGUGUUUUUGCAUGAUUCUGUUCCUCAGAAAUUGUCCCAUGUUGCUAAUACCAGCAGCAGAUAUGAAGGUGCCCAACUCCACUGCUGCUGGUAAUGACACUGCUGCUAAAAAAUAUAAACAAGAGACACUUCAUAUUUUUUACAACAGUCUCGUAUCCUUGCUUAAUAUUGUUAGAGGAGAGCUUGUGCCCAAAAGGGUGUUCAGUGACACCAUCAGCUGAAUAAGGCCUUUCAGAUACGUCUGUCCGCAUUAGCAAUGAGAAAACUUGCUCUCAUUUUACAAAGGAAUCAUUUCUUUUAAAUAUAACACUUUCCUUCCCGGCGCCCCCUGCAAAAGUGAUAGUCAUGAGAAUUCUCAUUACAGCCCUCUUUCAUCCCUUUGUCUCACAUUGGCUGAAAGUGCCUUUGUCUUCAAGUUCCUUCAAUUAUUAAUGAUUCAGUUGUAUUCUUUUUACCAAUUGGUGCAGAGAGAACCUUGGAGCAAAUCUGUGUUAGUUAUUCCAUUUCUUUUCUGCUCUCCUUUCCUUCUGCACUCUUUUUCAGUAGUGCUGUGCUCCGGGUUCCACAUCACUGCCUGGAGAUUUUGCUCCAACAUAAGAGUUGUCAUACCUCAAAGGCUGGCUUUGAUUCCAAACCUUAAUAAAAAGAGGUAAGGAGCCUCCUUGCAAAUCCCGACAGCAGCUGCAUUCUGGAGUCUCUAUUGUGGUAGCAUGUGGGCACACGGUUUCACCUGAAGCCGUCCCACCCUGGGGAUGAGCUGGGAGCCUGGGGGAUGGCAGGUCACCAGCAGCACAACUUCUUGCUCCCAGCCCACCUGAGGUGCACCUGGAGCAGGGUGGGCAGCAGAAGGUGUCCUUCACACGAAAGAGCUGCAGGGCUUGUGACACCUGCACAGUGCCCGGGGAGCCCACCUUACUGUUGUGGGAAGAGGGGCUCCUGUUUCUGCCACUUUCUGUACAAAAAAUAUAGUUAACAUGCUUUCCUAAGUGUGAAAAGCUCAGCCCAACUUGGGGUCAAAACCAACUUUCAUAAAUGCAAACUAGAGAGAAAAUAUGAUCAGUUUGCUGGGAUCUGUUAUUGGCAAACUAAUACUUUUCAAAGAGUUCUCAACUCUUCACCCAUUCUGUAGAUGCUUAUAAAUUGCUUGUUCGUGUAUUUGUGCCAAAAUCUUUGUGUAAAGGAGAUUAAGCUGAUUGGGUUGUCAUUUCCCACGGCUUCCUUUCAAGAGAGGGUGUGGUGUUUGAUCUCCUCCGGGUCUGCUGUGAAACCUUACAUGCUCUUCUUGAGUGAGGAAAGACUCACAGAAUUUGCUCAACUACGUCUAGCUUGUUUUGUGAGCUUCAGAGGCUGCUCUUACCCAUUCUGACCCAAGGUCCUGCUUCUUUUGAAAAUGAAUUUCAUGCAGUGCUUACUCACAGUUGAUUUUAUUUGUGAAAAUUGAGGCAAAUGUUGACUGUGUUGCAUCCUACUCUUCUGUACAUCAUCUUUGCUGUGCCUCUCUGUUGAACCAUGACUUGCCCUGUUUGCUUUUCAGAUCGUAUUGAAUCUUUUUUUGUUGCCUUUCAUGCUCCUUGCUAAUUGUGAUUCAUCUUCUUCUGUAGCUUUUCUGAUCAUCUCCUUGUGCCUUUGCUGUCUUCAAGCUGUGUGACUUUUGUCUCCGCUUUUUGUAUUAUUUUCUCUAGAUAUUCUGACCCUUAAAAAGCUUAGUGCAAUUGUGAUAGUCUUCCCCUGUGUUGGUAUAUUUUUCUGUAAAGCAGCGUCUGGAUGGUUUAUGGUACCAAGUUCCCACAUUGGUUGUUGAAACGAUGUGAGAAGCUCCCCAACUUCCUGGCAGUGCAGCCGUUGAGCUGUCAGUGAAAAUGCCAUUGAUCUAAACACCCCUUCAUCUAAGGAAGGCCAGAUUCCUUGAGGUGCAUCGAAUAAGUUCCAGGCUUCUUUGUUUACCUGAAAUUUCAUUUUGCCAGGUGGCUUUGUCUUUCAGUCCACUGAUAAACCAGGUUUGACUACAACCACGUUAACUUCCCCGAACUGCCUGCUAAUGGCAAUGGCAUGUGACAGUCUUCUCCACACCCAGAGCUCUUAGGCAGUGUAACUGAGCACUGUUGAAUGGUUUUUCACCCUCGAGGCAGCUGCCUGGUAGUGAGCAGAGCAAUUUUCCUUAUACAGAGCAACAAAAUUGUUCUGGACAGUGCUGUGAGGCCAGGAGAAAUGAAACCUACCCCUGAGCUACCCACUCCGAGUUUGCAGUCAUUAACCCGUCUUAGUCUUGAUGUAGCAACUGCUGUGGGCUCAGUGGAGCUGUAGCUGAUUUAAUGUGUGUAAGCGAAGGGGGAAUCAGGAUCAUUAUGUUAACCACAGGAAAUCUGCUUUUAUGGUGAUGAAAGCAAGAAUCAAUCACAAGUAGCUAAUGAAUUAGCCGGCGGUAUCUGCGAUGCUCAUUUCACAGUAAGUGCAACAGUCAAAAUCCAUUAAGAAGCCCUUUGCGAGGGGGUCCUCUGUGCAGAGGAUGUCUGCUACGUGCGGUGCCCGUGUUGCUGCCCCCACCUUGCCUUUGUCUGAGAAAUACAACCUCUGGUCCAAAUGCACGGCUGGUAGGGAAGGACUUCGAAUUGUCUUAGAGGUCAAAGUGGCUCCUAAUCAGGGCUGUUGUUACUGGAAAGCUGCCCUUUGCAAAGGGCAG
rnacentral:lncRNA from 1 species